UACGGAGGGUGCAAGCGUUAUUCGGAUUUACUGGGCUUAAAGGGUGCGUAGGUGGGUCUGUAAGUCAGUGGUGAAAUCUUCGAGCUUAACUCGGAAACUGCCAUUGAUACUGCUUAGCUUGAAUCACGUCGAGGUGGAUGGAAUAAUACAUGUAGCGGUGAAAUGCUUAGAUAUGUAUUAGAACACCGAUUGCGAAGGCAGUUCACUGGGCGUGUAUUGACACUGAGGCUCGAAAGCGUGGGGAUCAAACAGG
rnacentral:rRNA from 1 species